AUUAAAAGAAGCAUUAUAUGGGAGUCAAAGUAACACUGUCUAACCGAGUAACCGAGUCUGCGCUUCUGGACUGACCUUUUAACGGUUGUAUACUUGGCAAAAACUGUGACAAUGGUGUUGACUGUGGCCCUCAGUAACCUGGUGUUAGCGGUGUUUGGAUUUACUCUGAUCACUGGCCUUCCAGCCAACAUCCUGGCUUUCUACACCUUCUUCAAGAAGGUUCGCCAGCGGCCCACCCCCAUAGAUGUCCUGUUGCUCAGUUUAACUAUUUCGGACCUGAUCUUCCUCUUCUUCCUGCCAUUUCGUAUGGUGGAGGCGGCAAACAUGAAAUGGACACUGCCGUACUUCCUCUGCCCGCUGUCGGGUUUCAUCUUCUACGCCACAAUCUACAACAGCACCUUCCAUCUGACGGCCAUCAGCGUGGAGCGCUACCUGGGCGUGGCUUUCCCCAUAAAAUACAAGCUAAAACGCAAACCCCUGAAUGCAGUGAUAGCCAGCGUUAUAUUCUGGGUGGUAUCCAUGGCGCACUGCAGUAUCGUCUAUAUCAUGCAAUACCAUAAUAAUUCUAACCCCAACUUCACAGAUCCAUCCCAGCGGAAUACUUGUUAUGAUGAAUUCAGCCCCGAACAACUCAAAAUCCUCUUGCCGGUACGCUUGGAGCUUUUCGCAGUGCUGUUCUGCGCGCCUUUCCUCAUCAGCUGCUUCUGCUACAUCAAGUUCAUUCAUAUCCUCUCCAAUCUACCCAACCUCAACCACAAGAAGCGACUCAGGGCAAUUGGGAUGGCACUGGGAACGCUUCUGGUCUUCAUUAUCUGUUUCUUGCCCUACAAUGUGUCGCAUGUGGUGGGAUAUGUGGGCAAUUACAGCCCUGACUGGCGAGUGUAUGCGCUGCUCACCAGCACGUUUAACGCAUGUCUUGACCCAUUCAUAUUUUACUUCUCCUCCUCAGCACUCAGAGGGACUUUCAGGAACGUCUUGCGAGAAAUGGUCAGGCGGCUGACCCUGCCCUGCUGUCGUUUUGGUCUCUACUGCCCCCUGUUGAACUGUGUGAAUUCAGACGAGAAAACUCCGAGCUCAACUGACAGCACCCUCUAAGGCCGCAAACAUAUUUAACGCAAGUACGCAAAUGCUUGGACAAUGCAUUGCAAGUGUGCCAUUCAGUUGAGCAUUCUUAUGGCACACUCAUUUAUUGCUCUGGUGGGAACAACCCUAUACCUUAAAAUGUCUGUGCCAUUAAACCAAAUUCUGAAGUGACAUGGCGAUAGUACCACAGAGAUUGAAGAAAUAUUCAACAAAUUAGGAUUGAAGUGUCAACUGGGAAAUCAAAGGGAAUGUGUUUAAUUUCUUCAGCACAAAUGGCACCAAACAGAAUGUAAAAAAUAAUGACUGUUUUCGGAACACUCCCCCAUCUGCCAUUGUUCACCCUGCAGAGUGCAAUUCCAAUUGGUGCCACUAGUAGCAUAGAAAUCGCACACUUAUCCUUUGUCACAUUUUUUUAAUUUUUUGUGCAUUUUUCUUGUAUUCUCAUGUUGUUUGGGCAUGCUUGUAAUUUCACAUAUUUAUAUGGAGCGAUGCAUGUCUCCUGUGUUUUGUGAUUCUACCUCUUUGGCUAAUGGCUGGACCAACAAGCGGGUCUGAGUUUGACUGAUUAGCUUCAUUUUCACACUGAAUGUCUUGUAAAUAUUGCACUUUGUUUUUGCAAAUGUUCUUUCCAGUUUAGUUUAGUUUUUGUACCUGUUUUUUUUGUUGGCACUUUGAAUGAUUUGGACGUUUAAUUUUUUUAUUGCCAUUAUUGUGUUUUAAGAAGUGUGUAUUGCUUUUUAAGAAAUUAAUUAUUUUUAAUAUACUAGUUUAUACCAGUAAAUGUGUUUUGAAAUGUAAAUAUGCACACUUAAUUUCUGCAAAAAUAGAUAAGCUUACUUGGAGCUGUAGCUUAGUAAUUAGCGAACAUGUUCCACUUCAGUUUGAGAAGUGUUGCUCAUGCUGGAGACAGGCUGGCUAGAACAUGACCCAUGUCCUGUAUAAAAUAACAUAAGCUGGCUUAAUUUGUGAAAUGAUGUAUUAUUUUUUCAUUUGUGGGUGCAGUAAAGGUGCUGUAAGCGAUGUUAGCCAUUUUACUAACUAUUUCCAGCCUUGCCACUGAAUUAGGCUAAUGUCCUCUCUCAAAAAUAACAACCCUUAGCAAAAAAUGCACCAAUCCGUGCUUGGUACGGAUUAGCAUGCUACCAUACUAUUACUAUUUCUGCCAUAUCUUAUAUUGCAGAAAGAGUAAAAGUAGUAUAGUAGUAGGCCUUUGAUGUUCUGAACACGGCACCGAUGUUGAGAGAUUUUAGCCGUAUUGGCUAAAACACGUAGCCCCUCAUUUUCUGAAACAGUUUUUCCUUUGCAACGGGGUGCGUUCUCUCAAAAUAGCUGUGGUACAUUCACUCCAAAUGAAACAUGGUGUUACUAUCGUAAAUAGGGCUUGACAUUAAAACCGCCCACCUGCCAAAUGCGUGUAGAACUCGGCAGUGGCGAGUAACUGUGUCAAUCUUACUAGCCACUUUGGCGGGUGACGUUUUCAGGGUUUUCCCUGCAUUGAACAUUAUGUGAAUGUCAGGUCGCAGAAGAAAAUGAAAUUAUAUACACCUUGCGUUCAGUGCUUUAAAGCUGGAUUUCCAUCACAAACCCACUCGUGUGAGUGAACUGCUCUGCACGAUCCUAAGCAUGGGUGUCAAAUGGGUUUUCGUCAUUAUCCACGCAUUAUCAUUAUACACGCUCCAGAGAUAGCGCAGAGCUGAUCAAAUGCUAGAUUAAACCAGGCUUCCCUCAAUAUUGUGGUGUAGAUAACAAAAUUUAUGCAACCCAUUCGAAAUUUGAUACAGAUUAUUCUACAUUACAGCGGUUUGAAGGAAGUCAAACAGUUUAAAGAGCUAGACGGCCUUGACCCAUUUAACAGCAAUGAUGAGGACAAGGGGGAAACAACACUGUGGCAUGUGCAGUACAAACAUAAAUUCCAAUACUUUUCAAUCUAAACAUCACCCAUUUUUUUACAUGACUUGGCUAAUAUUUUAGUGUUAGCAUCAGGCAUUAGAAGUCUGAGCAAAGAGAAACACUGUUUUACAAUACAUUUAAUUUCAAAUCAGCUUAACAGAGAAGCUGUUUGUUUGAAAAAAAUAAGACAUUUAAAAAAAUUCAGUUUCUUAUAACUAUGUCUGUGUACAAAUUAAUUCAGUUUUUACUUCAAAGUGUAAGAGUAAGAGUGGCGUAGUGGGCUAAAUCACAUAACUGUUAAUCAGAAGGUUGCUGGUUCGAUCCCCACAGCCACCACCAUUGUGUCCUUGAGCAAGGCACUUAACUCCAGGUUGCUCCGGGGGGAUUGUCCCUGUAAUAAGUGCACUGUAAGUCGCUUUGGAUAAAAGUGUCUGCAAAAAUGUAUAAAUGUAAAUGUAAUGUGCAGUGUCUUUAUUUAUUGUUAUGUUCUCAGCCUUUCCGUUCGGACUGGAUUCUACAGUCGCAACUAAGUAACAGCCAAAACACACUUUCUGCCUGAGUGCGAUGCAACUAAUAAACCAGUUAAUUUAUUAGAGUCUCAAUUACGGCUGUAAUGGGUGACAUGGCCAGUCAUUUGUUGCACAUAACUGGUAAUCUGGUAAUCAGAAGGACACUGGUUCGAACCCCACAGCCACCACCAUUGUGUCCUUGAGCAAGGCACUUAACUCCAGGUUGC